AUUGAACGCUGGCGGCAUGCUUUACACAUGCAAGUCGAACGGCAGCGCGGGCUUCGGCCUGGCGGCGAGUGGCGAACGGGUGAGUAAUACAUCGGAACGCGCCCAGUAGUGGGGGGUAGCUCGGCGAAAGCCGGAUUAAUACCGCAUACGACCUGAGGGUGAAAGCGGGGGAUCUUCGGACCUCGCGCUAUUGGAGCGGCCGAUGGCAGAUUAGCUAGUUGGUGGGGUAAAGGCCUACCAAGGCGACGAUCUGUAGCUGGUCUGAGAGGACGACCAGCCACACUGGGACUGAGACACGGCCCAGACUCCUACGGGAGGCAGCAGUGGGGAAUUUUGGACAAUGGGCGAAAGCCUGAUCCAGCAAUGCCGCGUGUGUGAUGAAGGCCUUCGGGUUGUAAAGCACUUUUGGCGGGAACGAAAAGGACUGUGCCAAUACCACGGUUCGAUGACGGUACCCGCAGAAUAAGCACCGGCUAACUACGUG
rnacentral:rRNA from 1 species